CGAACCGGGGGAACUGAAACAUCUAAGUACCCCGAGGAAAAGAAAUCAACCGAGAUUCCGAAAGUAGCGGCGAGCGAAAUUGGACUAGCCCUUAAGCUUUACACGCGUUAGACGAACGGUCUGGAAAGUCCGACGAUACAGGGUGAUAGUCCCGUAGUUGACGACGUGUGUUCAGUGAAAUCGAGUAGGGCGGGACACGUGAUAUCCUGUCUGAAUAUGGGGGGACCAUCCUCCAAGGCUAAAUACUACUGACUGACCGAUAGUGAACCAGUACCGUGAGGGAAAGGCGAAAAGAACCCCUGUGAGGGGAGUGAAAUAGAACCUGAAACCGUGUACGUACAAGCAGUAGGAGCAGGCUUUGUCCUGUGACUGCGUACCUUUUGUAUAAUGGGUCAGCGACUUAUAUUCAGUGGCAAGGUUAACCAUCUAGGGGAGCCGUAGGGAAACCGAGUCUUAA
rnacentral:rRNA from 1 species